GAUCAUUAUAUAUAUAAUUCCACACUGUCACUUUAAGUGGGGGUGGUGUCUUGUUCCCAAGACGGUAUUUAAUUCCCACAAUGCCUUGCUUUUAUUACACUUGAUAAAGGGUUAUGCCCGAUACAUGUAGUUUAUCUACACUGCUAAAUAAACACAUUGCACUUUAAAACUACUGCCUGAAGCUGUUUUGAUUCAACUACUAUUGUUGGUACUGUAGUUGUAGGAGCCAAGUAGAAGUGUCUGGGCGAUGAAGAUCCUAUUCCCUCAGAUCAUUUCAUCUAAUGUCAACAGUAUGAAAACACCUGAAGCCACGUUCAAGUCUUGACCAACUCCAGGCUGACAUCUUGUUUGUACAAGAGACAAGACUCCACCACUGCUGAUGUUAAAUGAGUAUCUGGGCUCUUACUUUCCAUUGCUGCAGAGCCAAGUUCAUGUAUUGGAGGAGUUUCCUCGUCAGAACCUCAGCAAGUCUACAAUAUUAUUUUUCUUGGGUUUUUACUUUGUUUUUGGGUGGGGAAAGGGGUUAGUGUUGGCAGUUGUUUCCAAAAGGCUUUUUUUUGGGGUUGGGAGGGAGCCAAAAAGGACAGAGGAGGGACUUUUCUGACUGGUUGACCUCUGAAGGUUUGGGAAGAUAUGGCAGUGGUGUUGGUUAUAUUGCUGUUUAUAUGUGAGUGACCUGACACAAGGACUUUGUUUUUUUACUCAUUUGAUUGAGGUGUGUGUUUAUUUGUGAUCAGUUUCUUAUACCAAUAAAGAAAAAUUCCUAUCUGA